rnacentral:rRNA from 1 species
GUAAAUAAUAAAGGGCGUAUGGUGGAUGCCUAGGCUCUCAGAGGCGAUGAAGGACGUGAUAAGCUGCGAAAAGCUCCGUUUAGGUGCAAAUAACCUUUGAUGCGGAGAUCUCCGAAUGGGAAAACCCAAUAUGUUGAAGACAUAUUAUACCGUAAGGUAGGCAAACGCAGGGAACUGAAACAUCUAAGUACCUGCAGGAGAAGAAAACAAACGUGAUUCCCCCAGUAGCGGCGAGCGACCGGGGAAAAGCCCAAACCGUUAUUGUUUCGGCAUUAACGGGGUAGUAGGACUGCAAGCUUGAUGAAAUAAAUGAAAUGGAACACCUUGGAAAAUGUGAUCAUAGAGGGUGAUAAUCCCGUACAUGCAAGUUUAUGAAUCAUAGCAGUAUCCUGAGUAAGUCGGGACACGUGUAAUCCUGACCGAAUCCGCCGGGACCAUCCGGCAAGGCUAAAUACUCCUGAGAGACCGAUAGUGAACCAGUACCGUGAGGGAAAGGUGAAAAGCACUUCGAACAGAAGAGUGAAAUAGUUCCUGAACCCAUACGCCUACAAGCUGUCGGAGCCGCUUCGUGCGGUGACGGCGUGCCUUUUGCAUAAUGAGCCUACGAGUUACUCAUCACCAGCGAGGUUAAGUACUUCAGGUACGUAAGCCGAAGCGAAAGCGAGUCUGAAUAGGGCGUCAAGUUGGUGGUGGUAGACGCGAAACCUUAGUGAUCUACCCAUGGGCAGGGUGAAGGUUUGGUAACACAAACUGGAGGCCCGAACCGGUAAACGUUGAAAAGUUUUCGGAUGACCUGUGGGUAGGGGUGAAAGGCCAAUCAAACUGGGAAAUAGCUCGUACUCUCCGAAAUGCAUUUAGGUGCAGCCUCUGUUGUUUUGUUCUAGAGGUAGAGCUACUGAUUGGAUGCGAGGGCUUCACCGCCUAUCAAAUCCGGCCAAACUCCGAAUGCUAGAACAUGAAGACAGGGAGUGAGCCAGCGGGUGCUAAGGUCCGUUGACGAAAGAGGGAGAACUCAGACCAUCAGCUAAGGUCCCCAAUUAUAUGCUAAGUUGGAAUAAAAACGGGGUGGGACUGCUUAGACAGCUAGGAUGUUGGCUUGGAAGCAGCCAUUCAUUUAAAGAGUGCGUAACAGCUCACUAGUCGAGCGGUCCUGCAUGGAUAAUACGCGGGCAUAAGCAUAUAACCGAAGCUAUGGGAUUGUAGAUGAUACAAUCGGUAGGAGAGCAUUCCAUUCAGCAUAGAAGCAGUACCGUGAGGUAUUGUGGAGCGGAUGGAAAAGCAAAUGUAGGCAUAAGUAACGAUAAUGCGGGUGAGAACCCCGCACGCCGAAAGAUCAAGGAUUCCCCGGCAAUGUCAAUCAUCCGGGGGUAAGUCGGAUCCUAAGGGUAAGCCGAGUGGCGAUCCCGAUGGUAAACAGGUUAAUAUUCCUGUACUGAUCAUAACUGCGAUGCAGCGACGCAGAGGUGACACUGCUGCGUACUGACGGAAUAGUACGUUGAAACCCGUAUUCUUUGAUACCGGUAGUGAAGCACGCCGGUAGAGAUGAAAGGUGAUAGUACCGCAAUGCUUCGGUUGCGCGGAUAAUGCAGGUAAGCUGACUGCCAAGAAAACCUGCUAAGCUUCAGGUAAUGAUCAUCCGUACUGUAAACGGACACACGUGAUCAGGUAGAAAAUACUAAGGCGCUCGAGAGAUUCAUGGUUAAGGAACUAGGCAAAAUGGUCCUGUAACUUCGGGAUAAAGGACGCUCUUGUGAAAGAGCCGCAGAUAAUAGGCCCAGGCGACUGUUUACCAAAAACACAUGGCUAUGCUAAUUCGCAAGAAGAUGUAUAUGGCCUGACACCUGCCCGGUGCCGGAAGGUUAAGAGGAGAGCUCAGAGGUAACUCGAAGGUUUGAAUUGAAGCCCCGGUAAACGGCGGCCGUAACUAUAACGGUCCUAAGGUAGCGAAAUUCCUUGUCGGGU